UACGGGGGGGGCAAGCGUUGUUCGGAAUUACUGGGCGUAAAGGGCGCGUAGGCGGCCAUCUAAGUCAGACGUGAAAUCCCUCGGCUCAACCGAGGAACUGCGUCUGAUACUGGAAGGCUUGAAUCCGGGAGAGGGAUGUGGAAUUCCAGGUGUAGCGGUGAAAUGCGUAGAUAUCUGGAGGAACACCGGUGGCGAAGGCGGCAUUCUGGACCAACACUGACACUGAGGAGCGAAAGCCAGGGGAGCAAACGGG
rnacentral:rRNA from 1 species